CCUACGGGAGGCUGCAGUGGGGAAUAUUGGGCAAUGGACGCAAGUCUGACCCAGCAACGCCGCGUGAAGGAAGAAGGCUCUCGGGUUGUAAACUUCUUUUUAGGGGGAAGAGCAGAAGACGGUACCCCUUGAAUAAGCCAUGGCUAACUACGUGCCAGCAGCCGCGGGAAUACGUAGGUGGCAAGCGUUGUCCGGAUUUACUGGGUGUAAAGGGCGUGCAGGCGGGAAGACAAGUCAGAUGUGAAAUCCACGGGCUCAACCCGUGAACUGCAUUUGAAACUGGUUCCCUUGAGUGUCGGAGAGGUAAUCGGAAUUCGUUGUGUAGCGGUGAAAUGCGUAGAUAUAAGGAAGAACACCAGUGGCGAAGGCAGAUUACUGGACGGUAACUGACGGUGAGGCGCGAAAGCGUGGGGAGCAAACAGGAUUAGAUACCCCUGUAGUC
rnacentral:rRNA from 1 species